rnacentral:rRNA from 1 species
CCUACGGGGGGCUGCAGUGGGGAAUAUUGGACAAUGGGGGGAACCCUGAUCCAGCCAUGCCGCGUGUGUGAAGAAGGCCCUCGGGUUGUAAAGCACUUUCAGUGAGGAAGAACGCCUGGUGGUUAAUACCCAUCAGGAAAGACAUCACUCACAGAAGAAGCACCGGCUAACUCCGUGCCAGCAGCCGCGGUAAUACGGAGGGUGCGAGCGUUAAUCGGAAUUACUGGGCGUAAAGCGCGCGUAGGUGGCUUGAUAAGCCGGUUGUGAAAGCCCCGGGCUCAACCUGGGAACGGCAUCCUGAACUGUCAAGCUAGAGUGCAGGAGAGGAAGGUAGAAUUCCCGGUGUAGCGGUGAAAUGCGUAGAGAUCGGGAGGAAUACCAGUGGCGAAGGCGGCCUUCUGGACUGACACUGACACUGAGGUGCGAAAGCGUGGGUAGCAAACAGGAUUAGAUAACCGAGUAGUC